rnacentral:snRNA from 1 species
UUGCUCAUUUUGGCAGCACAUGCCUAAGAUUGAAAUGAUACAGAAAAGAUUCCCAUGGACCCUAUGCAAGGAUGAUAUGCAUGCCACAAAGUGUUCCUUAGGUUGU